rnacentral:rRNA from 1 species
UACGUAGGGGGCAAGCGUUGUCCGGAAUCAUUGGGCGUAAAGAGCGUGUAGGCGGCCCGGUAAGUCCGUUGUGAAAGUCCAGGGCUCAACCCUGGAAAGCCGAUGGAUACUGCCGGGCUAGAGUUCGGAAGAGGCGAGUGGAAUUCCUGGUGUAGCGGUGAAAUGCGCAGAUAUCAGGAGGAACACCGAUGGCGAAGGCAGGUCUCUGGGCCAACUGACUGACGCUGAGAAGCGAAAGCAUGGGGAGCGAACAGG